rnacentral:lncRNA from 1 species
AAGAAAAGAAAAGAAAGGAGGCUGGUGGCCGGUCCAGCGAGGGGGAAGAUCGCCGGCUAGGGUUCCGGCGAGGGCUCCGGCGAGGGUAGUGACACGGGCAGGCACGGGGCUGACGUUAGAUUUGGGUGCGGGUGUCGCGAAUCGGUGGCGCCAGAUUUGGGAGCGUCGAGGGUCUGGGUGCGGGCGUCGCGGGCGAGGAACUCCGAGCAUAGGUAAAAGCAAGGCAGAGGCGACGUCGGGGCGGCACAGCAAGACCGGCGGGCGGCGUCGUGGGCGGAGCAGCGAGACCAGCGGGUGGAGCAGGGGCUUCGACGUGUUCCGGCGAGGCGAAUCAGGGUAGAUGCGGGCCGAUCUGAAGCAACGACGUCGGGGAGCAACUCCGAUGCGGCGGAUUGGGGUUGAUGCGGCAAAUUGGCGAUGGCGGCGCAGCAGAAACGUCAGAUUGUCGCCGGAUCUGGGAGUUGCAGGCGAUGGGACCGAUUUGCUAGGUCG